CCGAACGGCCGGCAGGCGAUCCGGGUCGUUCUCGCUGGGUGGUAUGGUUCCCCAGAGGCCGGUUCUUGUGCUGCCUACCCCUUCAGGGGAAGCGGGCCGCUUGAUGCAAGCCUCCAUCCGGCGCCCUACAACGGGCGCAGGAGGACAACGUAGCACCCCCCGCGUUCCACCGAGCCCCCGYCGGUCGCGUGGCGCGCGGGGACGUGCGAUGCUCUCGGACCCAGCGAACGCCGUGGGCGAGGACUCACGUCCCAGUCCCGAUAGAAGCUCCCACAUAGUGCAUGACGGCYGCUCCCGUCCCCCCGACCGCCCCGGCGGCGUGGGGGCGAGGC
rnacentral:misc_RNA from 1 species